rnacentral:lncRNA from 1 species
AUGUGGGGGGCCAGGGGUGGGGGGUGCCCCAUAGCAGUGGGUCUGCCCCACAAGUGGCCCCAUAGCAGUGUCCCCAUCCCCUAUCCAUCUGUGUCCCUGCCCCCCAUGCCUGGGUCUCUCCCUAUGGGUCUCUUGCUAUGGGUCUGCCCCCUAUCUAUGGGUCUGCCCCCCAUGUGUGGGUCUCUCCCUAUGGGUUUCUCCCUAUGGGUCUCCCCCUAUGGGUCUGCCCCCCACCUAUGGAUCUGCCCUCCAUGCCUGGGUCUCUCCCUAUGGGUCUCCCUUGUACCUGUGGGUCUCCUGCUAUGGGUCUGCCCCCCAUGUGUGGGUCUGCCCCCCAUGUGUGGGUCUGCCCCCCACCUAUGGGUCCGCCCGCAGCUGGCGGUGUCCCGCGGGGUGCGGGUGCUGCUGGACGCGGAGCAGAGCGAGCUGCGGGCGGCGCUGACGCUGCUGGGGCUGGCGCUGAUGGCGCGGCACAACCGGGGCACGGCCUGGGUCUGGCACACGCAGCAGGCCUACCUCAGGGUGUGUGGGGCAGGGACAUGUGGGGAGAUGUGGGGCAGGGACAUGUGGGGCUGGGAGAUGUGGGGCUGGGUGUGGGGCUGGGACAGGCAGCAAGCGUACCUCAGGGUUUGUGGGGCAGGGACAUGUGGGGAGAUGUGGGGCCGGGACAUGUGGGGCUGGGAGAUGUGGGGCUGGGUGUGGGGCUGGGACAUGGGGCAGGCCUACCUCAGGGUCUGUGGGGUCUGUGGGGAGAUGUGGGGCUGGGUGUUUAGCUGUGGGGCAGGCCUUUGGGUAUGGGUCAGGGUGUCAGUUAUGGGUCGGGACGCCCCGCUAUGGGGCAGAGCACCCCGCUAUGGGGCAGCCCGUCACCGUGGGUCUGUGGGGCAGGACGCGGUGCAGGACCUGCAGCGGGUGCUGAGCCGCGGGCGCCGCCUGGGGGUCGCAGUGGGGCUGAAGCUGGUGCGGGGGGCGUACCUGCAGCACGAGAGGGGCAGGGGGACCGCCAUGGACACCCCCCAGCACACCGACCGCAGGUGGGAACCCAAAAACACCCCAAAAACAACUACAGGGACCCCAAAAACACCAAAAGGACCCCAAAAACAACAACAGGGACUCCAAAAACAACAACAGGGACCCCAAAAACAACAACAGGGACCCCAAAAUUCCCCAAACAGACCCUAAAAGGGACCAAAACCACCCAAACAGACCCCCAAAAAGGACUAAAAAGGACCAAAAAUCCCCAAAAGGGACCCCAAGAACCCCUAAAGGGACCCCAAAAUACCAAAAGGGUCACAAAGGGACCAGAAACUCCCAGAAGGACCCCAAAAACACCAAAAGGGAUUCCAAAAAGCCCCCAAAUGGCCCCAGAACCCCAAAAAGGGACCCAAAGGGGACCUCAAAAACCCCAAAAGGGACCCCAAAAACCCUAAACGGACCAAAAACCCCAAAAAGGGACACAAAAGGGCCCAAAAAAAUCCCCAAAAUGGACACAAAAGGGCCCAAAACCACACAAAAGGGACCUGAGAGGGCCCCAGAAGAGCCCCAAAAGGGCCCUGAGAAGGGACCAAAAUCACCCCAAAAAGGCCCCCAGAAGGGCCUCAACCCCCCCCCGAGCCCCAAAAUCCCCCGAUCUGACCCCAAAUCCCCCCCCAGCUACGCGCAGUGCCUGGAGCUGGCGCUGACGCACGGGGGGGGCCUGGAGCUGAUGGUGGCCACGCACAACGAGGGCUCCGUGCAGCUGGCAGCACGCAGGU